rnacentral:rRNA from 1 species
GACGAACGCUGGCGGCGUGCCUAAUACAUGCAAGUCGAGCGAAGCGGCGGAUGGGUGAGUAACGCGUGGGUAACCUGCCCUUAAGUCUGGGAUACCAUUUGGAAACAGAUGCUAAUACCGGAUACUAAAGGAUGGACUUGCGAUGCAUUCGCUAGUUGGUAAGGUAACGGCUUACCAAGGCGAUGAUGCAUAGCCGAGUUGAGAGACUGAUCGGCCACAUUGGGACUGAGACACGGCCCAGACUCAUACUGGAGGCAGCGCUAGGGUAACUACCACUAUGGACGAAAGUCUGAUGGAGCAACGCCGCGUGAGUGAAGGAGGUUUUCGGAUCGUAAAGCUCUGUUGUUGGUGAAGCGGUAAUCAACCAAAAAGUCACGGCUAACUACGUGCCAGCAGCCGCGGUAAUAC